rnacentral:rRNA from 1 species
GGUGGUGUAGGGGUAAAAUCCGUAGAUAUCACCAAGAAUACCCAUUGCGAAGGCGAUCUGCUGGAACUUAACUGACGCUAAGGCGCGAAAGCGUGGGGAGCAAACAGGAUUAGAUACCCUGGUAGUCCACGCCCUAAACGAUGUAUGCUAGUUGUUGGGGUGCUAGUCAUCUCAGUAAUGCAGCUAACGCAUUAAGCAUACCGCCUGGGGAGUACGGUCGCAAGAUUAAAACUCAAAGGAAUAGACGGGGACCCGCACAAGCGGUGGAGCAUGUGGUUUAAUUCGAAGAUACGCGAAGAACCUUACCUGGGCUUGAUAUCCUAAGAACCUUAUAGAGAUAUGAGGGUGCUAGCUUGCUAGAACUUAGAGACAGGUGCUGCACGGCUGUCGUCAGCUCGUGUCGUGAGAUGUUGGGUUAAGUCCCGCAACGAGCGCAACCCACGUAUUUAGUUGCUAACACUUCGGGUGAGCACUCUAAAUAGACUGCCUUCGUAAGGAGGAGGAAGGUGUGGACGACGUCAAGUCAUCAUGGCCCUUAUGCCCAGGGCGACACACGUGCUACAAUGGCAUAUACAAUGAGACGCAAUACCGCGAGGUGGAGCAAAUCUAUAAAAUAUGUCCCAGUUCGGAUUGUUCUCUGCAACUCGAGAGCAUGAAGCCGGAAUCGCUAGUAAUCGUAGAUCAGCCAUGCUACGGUGAAUACGUUCCCGGGUCUUGUACUCACCGCCCGUCACACCAUGGGAGUUGAUUUCACUCGAAGCCGGAAUACUAAACUAGUUACCGUCCACAGUGGAAUCAGCGACUGGGGUGAAGUCGUAACAAGGUAACCGUAGGAGAACCUGCGGUUGGAUCACCUCCUUUCUA